UGGGGAAUUUUGGACAAUGGGCGAAAGCCUGAUCCAGCCAUGCCGCGUGAGUGAAGAAGGCCUUCGGGUUGUAAAGCUCUUUCAGCCGGAAAGAAAACGCAUGGGUUAAUAACCUGUGUGGAUGACGGUACCGGAAGAAGAAGCACCGGCUAACUACGUGCCAGCAGCCGCGGUAAUACGUAGGGUGCGAGCGUUAAUCGGAAUUACUGGGCGUAAAGCGUGCGCAGGCGGUUUUGUAAGACAGAUGUGAAAUCCCCGGGCUUAACCUGGGAACUGCAUUUGUGACUGCAAGGCUAGAGUACGGCAGAGGGGGGUAGAAUUCCACGUGUAGCAGUGAAAUGCGUAGAUAUGUGGAGGAAUACCGAUGGCGAAGGCAGCCCCCUGGGUCGAUACUGACGCUCAUGCACGAAAGCGUGGGGAGCAAACAGG
rnacentral:rRNA from 1 species